rnacentral:rRNA from 1 species
GAUGAACGCUGGCGGCGUGCCUAAUACAUGCAAGUCGAGCGAACGGACGAGAAGCUUGCUUCUCUGAUGUUAGCGGCGGACGGGUGAGUAACACGUGGAUAACCUACCUAUAAGACUGGGAUAACUUCGGGAAACCGGAGCUAAUACCGGAUAAUAUUUUGAACCGCAUGGUUCAAAAGUGAAAGACGGUCUUGCUGUCACUUAUAGAUGGAUCCGCGCUGCAUUAGCUAGUUGGUAAGGUAACGGCUUACCAAGGCAACGAUGCAUAGCCGACCUGAGAGGGGGAUCGGCCACACUGGAACUGAGACACGGUCCAGACUCCUACGAGAGGCAGCAGUAGGGAAUCUUCCGCAAUGGGCGAAAGCCUGACGGAGCAACGCCGCGUGAGUGAUGAAGGUCUUCGGAUCGUAAAACUCUGUUAUUAGGGAAGAACAUAUGUGUAAGUAACUGUGCACAUCUUGACGGUACCUAAUCAGAAAGCCACGGCUAACUACGUG